GGAGAAUUAGCUCAGCUGGGAGAGCAUCUGCCUUACAAGCAGAGGGUCGGCAGUUCGAAUCUGUCAUUCUCCACCA
rnacentral:tRNA from 1 species